GGGGACUUAGCUCAGUGGUAGAGCCUUUGCCUAGCAAGCACAAGGCCCUGGGUUCGGUCCCCAGCUCCG
rnacentral:tRNA from 1 species